AUACGUAGGGCGCAAGCGUUAAUCGGAAUUACUGGGCGUAAAGCGUGCGCAGGCGGUCUUGUAAGACAGAGGUGAAAUCCCCGGGCUCAACCUGGGAACUGCCUUUGUGACUGCAAGGCUAGAGUACGGCAGAGGGGGAUGGAAUUCCGCGUGUAGCAGUGAAAUGCGUAGAUAUGCGGAGGAACACCGAUGGCGAAGGCAAUCCCCUGGGCCUGUACUGACGCUCAUGCACGAAAGCGUGGGGAGCAAACAGGAUUAGAUACCCUGGUAGUCCACGCCCUAAACGAUGUCAACUGGUUGUUGGGUCUUCAUUGACUCAGUAACGAAGCUAACGCGUGAAGUUGACCGCUUGGGGAGUACGGCCGUAAGGUUGAAACUCAAAGGAAUUGACGGGG
rnacentral:rRNA from 1 species